CCCCUCUUGUGCAUUCAGUCUCAUCAAGCUCCAUCUGAGCUUCAUCUUGUCACUGCGGACAACCACGUGCGCGCAGUUAAGAGGCGCCCCACGCGCGUCCUCCGGGAAGCCAGGCACUGAGAACAAAGGUUUGGGGAUCGCUCUUUCAAGAACGCACCAGUCCCGCGAGCUCGCGGCGGCGGUUGCGGUGCAGCCAUUGGCGGACCACAGACCACAGCGCCUCGCCCCGCCUGCUCCGCAGAGGGAUCGCGUCCGCAUCAGCUCCCAGGCCAGCGCAGGUCUGCGCAAGGACCAUGGGCGCCGCGCUGGGCUCAGGUCCGCGGCUGGCUCUCCGGUCCGGCCGGGCCUGCGGCGCCCUCCCCCGCUGGGCACCCUCCGAGCCAGCCCGAGACUACCACUCCAAGGCCAGCUCGGCGCGCCCUGUGCCCCUGAAGAAACGCGGAUACGAUGUCACCAGGAACCCGCAUCUCAACAAGGGCAUGGCCUUUACACUUGAGGAAAGGAUGCAGCUUGGAAUCCAUGGCCUUAUCCCUCCCUGCUUCCUGAGCCAGGACGUCCAGCUCCUCCGGAUUAUGAGAUACUAUGAACGGCAGCAGAGCGACCUGGACAAGUACAUCAUUCUCAUGACGCUCCAAGACCGGAACGAGAAGCUCUUCUACCGAGUGCUGACCUCGGACGUGGAGAAGUUCCUGCCGAUCGUGUACACGCCCACCGUGGGGCUGGCCUGUCAGCACUACGGCCUGACCUUCCGCCGGCCCCGGGGGCUCUUCAUCACCAUCCAUGACAAAGGCCACAUUGCGACAAUGCUGAACUCCUGGCCAGAAGACAAUAUUAAGGCUGUGGUGGUGACUGACGGGGAGCGCAUCCUGGGCUUGGGGGACCUGGGCUGCUACGGCAUGGGCAUCCCUGUGGGCAAGCUGGCCCUGUACACGGCGUGUGGAGGGGUGAACCCACAGCAGUGCCUCCCCGUCCUGCUGGACGUCGGCACCAACAACGAGGAGCUGCUCAGAGACCCUCUGUACAUUGGCCUGAAACACCAGCGUGUGCGCGGGAAGGAGUACGAUGACUUGCUGGACGAGUUCAUGCAGGCUGUGACAGACAAGUUUGGGAUAAACUGCCUCGUCCAGUUUGAAGACUUUGCCAAUGCCAACGCCUUCCGCCUGCUCAACAAAUACCGCAACAAAUACUGCAUGUUCAAUGAUGACAUCCAAGGCACAGCCUCUGUUGCUGUGGCAGGGAUCCUGGCUGCUCUGCGAAUCACCAAGAAUAAGCUCUCUAACCACGUAUUUGUUUUCCAAGGUGCAGGUGAGGCAGCCAUGGGCAUUGCCCACCUCCUUGUUAUGGCCCUAGAGAAAGAAGGCGUGCCAAAGGCAGAAGCCAUGAGGAAGAUCUGGAUGGUGGACUCCAAGGGGCUCAUUGUCAAGGGGAGGAGUCAUCUGAACCAUGAAAAGGAGAUGUUUGCUCAAGAUCACCCAGAAGUGAACUCCCUGGAGGAGGUGGUGAGGCUGGUGAAGCCCACGGCCAUCAUAGGUGUUGCUGCCAUCGCAGGAGCCUUCACGGAGCAGAUUCUGAAGGACAUGGCCUCCUUCCACGAGCACCCUAUCAUCUUUGCCCUGAGCAACCCCACCAGCAAGGCCGAGUGCACGGCUGAGAAGUGCUACCGGGUCACUGAGGUCAGCAGGGAGUCCUUCCUUCUCCCAGCUGAGAGGAUAUAAUAACAAUGAGUAACCCUAUGAAAGUGAAAAAACAAAAAUCCUCACAUCACUGAUGAACAAACUGAGGUUCGGAAAGAUGAAGUAACUUUCCCAAGUUGACAGAGCUAAUAAGGAGUGGAACUUGCCUUCAAAUCCAGGGCCGUGGCAUUUUUGCAAGUGGAAGUCCGUUUAAGAGUGUAACUCUGGAAGAUGGCAGGACCUUCAUUCCUGGACAAGGAAAUAAUGCUUACGUGUUUCCUGGGGUGGCACUGGGAGUCAUUGCUGGUGGGAUCCGGCACAUCCCAGAUGAGAUCUUCCUCCUAACAGCAGAGCAAAUUGCCCAGGAGGUAUCUGAGCAGCAUCUGUCCCAGGGGAGACUGUACCCACCACUCAGCACCAUCCGAGAUGUGUCUCUGAGAAUUGCUGUCAAAGUCCUUGACUACGCGUACAAACACAACCUGGCUUCCUACUACCCAGAGCCCAAGGACAAGGAGGCUUUUGUACGAUCCCUGGUCUACACUCCAGACUAUGACUCCUUUACACUGGACAGCUACAGUUGGCCCAAGGAAGCCAUGAAUGUUCAGACAGUCUGAUGCAGGGUCAGGGGCUGGUAUGCGGCUGGAUGAAGCCCAAAUUACACCCACAAUAUAAAUGGGUUCCAAAAUGGCCAUCUUUGUCACUGUGUUUUUUACUUUGAACUUUCUGAUGUGAGGGGAGAUGACAAGGCAUACUGUGAAUGACAGCCUUGUCCCUGAA